GGAUCAUCUCACACACACUGCAGAUGGCACAGAAGGUUCCACUACGGCCUCCCCCAUUUCUAAACACAGAGCAAAGAGAAACCAGCAAGAAACUGAGCUCGGCUCCCUGGCUCACAUAGACAUGGAACAGAGAUCACAUCUGUGAGUGGAGGAGCCAGACUUUUCAUAUAAGCACAUGUAAAACUUUUGAAGUUGGCUGAUCCAAGAAUAGAUUCAAAUUCUUCAGCCAAGAGUCUAGACCAACUGACUUUUUCCACUUCAUUGCCUAGUUGACCCUUUGGGCCCGGAGCUCACGCACGCAGUUGAAGAUGUCCACCACCCCUUCAUUCUCGGCCAUGUCAAGCAUGGUGUCAAUGGCAAUGAAGCAGCCAGUCCGCCCAGCCCCAGCACUGGAAGAGAGCAAAUGGGUUGACGGAUGGAAGCAAAGAAGGAGAGGAGAGAGAACAGAGGGGAGAUGAAUGACAGGACAGAAACGAGAGUCCUCUGAGCUGUCCCCAAGACAGAGAGUGGUUGGUGGAGCACCACGUUCAAAGGCCGGCAUCUGGCUCCACCUGCAGCUGUUUUCGCAGGAUCGUGAAGCAAGAGUGUCAUGAAACUGGAGCAGCUGACCGUCCGGAGACCCUUGUCAGGGAUCAAGUUUCUUGAUACAUACUUACUUGAUUUCUGGUCACUAGUGGCUUCUUUAGGAGAAUCUCAGACCAAGUAUAAAAUGGUAGGGGAACUCAACGAGACUCUAUGGGCCUUGGCCAGCCCUUUCUAGAUCAGUGCUGGGCUCUGAAACAUCAGUGCUGACCAAGAGGCACGUAAGACAUGUGCCUUACACAUGUGCAGUUUUGGAUGGGAAGGCCGGGCAGCCUGUCAAGGAGGCCCCCUUCCGCUGCGUUUUCACAUCUUGCCUUUCUCAUGGAAACAAGUGUCUUUGUCUAACAAUGUAGAUGUCAAAAGACACACAAAGAGGAAGAGAGAUGGAACAAGACAAAAAAGCAAUAUUGGCUCAUGGUAAAUCCAAGGGGCACAGGCCAGUGCGGACCACUACCUACAACAAUUUGGAAAGUACACCCAUUGGAAGCAGAGUCUUCAUUCAUGAGAAACUUUCAUGGUUUGAAUGAAGUCUGACUUAAGUUUGCUUCAGAACCUACUCCCCAAAAUCCAGAUGCGGGGACUCAAGAGACUUGGCCUCUGUGUCUGGGAGGGAGUAUAGGGGGGGUCACUCGUGUUUUUUUCUUCAAUGUUCAUAUUCACCAUGCUUUAGUAUAAAGAAUCAGCCCAAUUUGGUUCCAAAUUUUGGAACAACUAUCAAUCAAUCAGCGGUGACCAAGUUGCCUAGUGUCCGUUUGUUUGUUAGCUUCAGAUUUCUGAUGCUUUUAACAUACCUCCCUGCAGGGUCCUUGUGAGGACAAAGCUGUGUUUAUUUCAUUUCAGCAUCACAUAGUAAUUGAACACAGGAUAUUUGAAAAGACCCCCUAGGAUUAAAUCCUGGCUCUAUUACUUAUUAGCUGCAUGACCUCGGGCAAAUGACUUAACCUCUCUGGGUUUCAAUACUCAUCUAUAAAAUGAUGUUGAUAAUAAUUAAAAUACUCACUCAUCUAUAAAAUGAUGUUGAUAAUAAUUAAUAGAUCCACCUCACAGCAUUAAUAGCACAAUAUGUAUAAAUUGGAUGAAA
rnacentral:lncRNA from 1 species